rnacentral:rRNA from 1 species
UUUAUCGGAGAGUUUGAUCCUGGCUCAGGACGAACGCUGGCGGCGUGCCUAAUACAUGCAAGUCGAGCGGACAGAUGGGAGCUUGCUCCCUGAUGUUAGCGGCGGACGGGUGAGUAACACGUGGGUAACCUGCCUGUAAGACUGGGAUAACUCCGGGAAACCGGGGCUAAUACCGGAUGGUUGUUUGAACCGCAUGGUUCAGACAUAAAAGGUGGCUUCGGCUACCACUUACAGAUGG